AGGACGAACGCUGGCGGCGUGCUUAACACAUGCAAGUCGAGCGGAAAGGCCCUUCGGGGUACUCGAGCGGCGAACGGGUGAGUAACACGUGAGCAACCUGCCCCUGGCUCUGGGAUAGCCUCCGGAAAACGGGGAUUAAUACCGGAUAUUCACUGCUUCCUGCAUGGGGGGUGGUGGAAAGUUUUUCGGCUAGGGCGGGGCUCGCGGCCUAUCAGCUUGUUGGGGGGUGACGGCCCACCAAGGCGACGACGGGUAGCCGGCCUGAGAGGGCGACCGGCCACACUGGGACUGAGACACGGCCCAGACUCCUACGGGAGGCAGCAGUGGGAAUAUUGCGCAAUGGGCGGAAGCCUGACGCAGCGACGCCGCGUGCGGGAUGAAGGCCUUCGGGUUGUAAACCGCUUUCACCAGGGACGAAGCGAGAGUGACGGUACCUGGGGAAGAAGCGCCGGCUAACGUACGUGCCAGCAGCCGC
rnacentral:rRNA from 1 species